rnacentral:tRNA from 1 species
GCUAGAAUAGUUUAAUAAUCAAAAGCACUGCAUUCAGAAUCAGAGAACCUGGGUUCAAAUCCUAGCUCUACCA